CACACUAAAAAAAUAUGAAUUUUACAUCCAACGUAAACACGAAUCUCACUUAAAUUUAUAAACUGUAAUUGACUUUUCAAUGUAAAAAUGUGUCUGAUUUGACGUAAUGCUACACAUGACACCAAUUUUAUUGAAAAUGUGAUAUUACAUCAUUGGUCCAUCACUCCAGUCUUAAUUUUACGUCUUAUAAGAUGCACAUAGCUGGAGCGUCAUUUAAGAUGUAAUUUUGCGUCACAUAAGCUAUAAUUUUUGCUGUCAAGACUGGCCUCGUUUGGCAAGGUCGGCCAUGUUUGUAAACAUAAGAAAACGGAGAUCGUGAGACUCGGAACCUUUUCGGAGCGUUCUGAGAAAGAUUCUUGGCCGGAAAAGGCAGGUGGGGCUGUUUGAAGUCGUUUACUAAGAUUCCCCAAAAUCGUUCGCAGCUGUCGCUUCUCCCGGACACGCAUCGCAACGGCAGCGGAAAAGAAUCGGCAAUCAGCGUCAGCACCAUGGAUAAGGCCGUUUCUAGCCGUACAAAUGCCAGGAUUGUGAAAGUUCCUGAAGAAGUUUUAAAACCGUGCUGGGGGAAGUGACAAAAGUGAUCAUCAGAACCGGCUAGCCGCUGCUGAAGGAUUUGUAGGGAAAAUCAGUGAAAUGUAGAGAUUGUGAAGGUAAAAAUAUUUAUAUUUGUGCAAAGUGUCGAAAAAUGUAGUGUUUGUUGAAAAUCUAUGCAGUUUUUGUAAAAUUAAACGAAUAAAAUAUUUACUUUCUCUUGCA